GCUUUCACUAGGAGGUGGCCGUGGCAGAACUAGCUUCCUCUGAAGUACCAGAAUCGAUGAAUUAUUUUUCUCAUGAAAGAAGAGAUGAAGUCCUACUUGGAAUUGAUGCAAUAAUGCUCAGUGCUCCUCUCCUCAGAGAUGCAGUUUUGCCAUGUUGCCCAAACUGGUCUCGAACUCCUGAGCUCAAAGCAAUUUGCCCGCCUUGGCCUCCCAAGCUGGAAUGACAGGCGUGAGCCACUGCACCCCGCCAACAUUGGCAUUCUCUGCUGCCUUCUCUGGACUGAGGAACUUCACUCAACAACUGGGCUCACAGCCCUUUUUCCGCAGAGAUUUUGUGGAAUAGCCUUUUUGUCUCAUGCCUGCUUUUCAUUUAUUUGCUUGUUUGAGAUAAAUUAAAAGCAGAAAAUGAAGGAAUCGUUUGGUGAUUAUUAGAUUGCACUACGUUUAAGUGAAUCUUAACUCAAAGUAAGACCAAAGACACACACCUAUUCCACUUUUGAAGAUAAAAGACAACACAAGCCAGUUUCUACCAACCUAGUUCUAUUAUAAGUACCUAUAAGAUAAGCAUCAUGAUUUAAUAAUUAUAAUAUGAUAAUAAUAACAAUAGAUGCCACUUAGGAGCCCUUGACAGUUUGGGCAGACACAGGCCCUUUACAUAUGUUAUUACUUAAACAUAAUUGAUGCCAGAGACCUUACUCAAUGCAUUGAGGCAUCACUGCAGGCUCGCAAAUUAUAGUGCUUAAUUUCUUCUUAGAAAUGAUAUAUUAUGAAAUAACUGUCUCCAGACAUUUUUCUGUCAUAUACUUUCCAGUUCAGCUCUAAGUCUAUCUUCUCCACAAUCUUCAAGUGAUGCAGUAAAUAUGUAUGCUGCAGAGGGUCAUGUUUGUCUAGAUCCAAUGGUAGAAAAGCCAGCGUGGUCUGAGAAUGUGUUAUUCUGGCUAAUCAGGUAUUCUGGUUCUAUGGAUUUCACAUGACCAUUUGUGGCUGAACAGUGUCAGAUAAACUUAACUCAAUAAAAUACAUUUAAUGCUUGGCCUCUUUG